GAGUUUGAUCUUGGCUCAGAUUGAACGCUGGCGGCAGGCCUAACACAUGCAAGUCGAGCGGUAACAGGGAUAGCUUGCUAUCUGCUGACGAGCGGCGGACGGGUGCGUAACACGUAGGAAUCUACCCAGUAGCGGGGGGAUAGCCCGGAGAAAUCCGGAUUAAUACCGCAUACGCCCUACGGGGGAAAGCGAGGGGAUUCUUUCUUUGGUAGAGAACCUUGCACUAUUGGAUGAGCCUGCGUCGGAUUAGCUGGUUGGUGGGGUAAAGGCCGUACCAAGGCAACGAUCCGUAGCUGGUCUGAGAGGAUGAUCAGCCACACUGGGACUGAGACACGGCCCAGACUCCUACGGGAGGCAGCAGUGGGGAAUAUUGCACAAUGGGCGCGAAGCCUGAUGCAGCCAUGCCGCGUGUGUG
rnacentral:rRNA from 1 species